rnacentral:rRNA from 1 species
AGUUUGAUUAUGGCUCAGGACGAACGCUGGCGGGAUGCUUUACACAUGCAAAGGAACGGCAGCACGGACUUCGGUCUGGUGGCGAGUGGCGAAUGGGUGAGUAAUGUAUCGGAACGUGCCUAGUAGCGGGGGAUAACUACGCGAAGGCGUAGCUAAUACCGCAUACGCUCCUCGGGGGAAAGCGGGGGACCUUCGGGCCUCGCAAUUAUUAGAGCGGCCGAUAUCGGAUUAGCUAGCUGGUGGGGUAACGGCUCACCAAGGCGACGAUCCGUAGCUGGUCGGAGAGGACGGCGACCAGCCACACUGGGACUGAGACACGGCCCAGACUCCUACGGGAGGCAGCAGUGGGGAAUUUUGGACAAUGGGGGAAACCCUGAUCCAGCCAUCUCAAGCGUGUGCGAUGAAGGCUCGUCAUUGUAAAGCACUUUUGGCAGGAAAGAAACGGCACGGGAUAAUACCCCGUGCAACUGACGGUACCUGCAGAAUAAGCACCGGCUAACUACGCCAGCAGCCGCGGUAAAUAAUGUAGGGUGCAAGCGUUAAUCGGAAUAUUGGCGUAGCGUGCGCAGGCGGUUCGGAAAGAAAGAUGUGAAAUCCCAGAGCUUAACUUUGGAACUGCAUUUUUAACUACCGAGCUAGAGUGUGUCAGAGGGAGGUGGAAUUCCGCGUGUAGCAGUGAAAUGCGUAGAUAUGCGGAGGAACACCGAUGGCGAAGGCAGCUUCCCUGGGAUAACACUGACGCUCAUGCACGAAAGCGUGGGGAGCAAACAGGAUUAGAUACCCUGCAACCGUCGCCCUAAACGAUGUCAACUAGCUGUUGGGGCCUUCGGGCCUUGGUAGCGCAGCUAACGCGUGAAGUUGACCGCCUGGGGAGUACGGUCGCAAGAUUAAAACUCAAAGGAAUUGACGGGGACCCGCACAAGCGGUGGAUGAUGUGGGUUAAUUCGAUGCAACGCGAAAAACCUUACCUACCCUUGACAUGUUCGGAAUCCCGAAGAGAUUUGGAGUGCUCGCAAGAGAACCGGAACACAGGUGCUGUAUGUCGUCGUCACGUCGUGAGCGGUUAAGUCCCAACGAGCGCAACCCUUGUCAUUAGUUGCUACGAAAGGGCACUCGGGAUCGAGACUGCCGGUGACAAACCGGAGGAAGGUGGGGAUGACGUCAAGUCCUCAUGGCCCCGCGUGUGGGGCUUCACACGUCACAAUGGUCGGGACAGAGGGUCGCCAACCCGCGAGGGGAGCCAAUCCCAGAAACCCGAUCGUAGUCCGGAUCGCAGUCUGCAACCUCACCGCAGAAGUCGGAAUCGCUAGUACCUGCGGAUCAGCAUGUCGCGGUGAAUACGUUCCCGGGUUCUGUACACACCGCCCGUCACACCAUGGGAGUGGGUUUUACCAGAAGUAGUUAGCCUAACCGUGGGUGAGGGCGAUUACCACGCAGGACCCUAGUGACUGUGCGAAGUCGUAACAAGGU